UAGGGAAUCUUCCGCAAUGGACGCAAGUCUGACGGAGCAACGCCGCGUGAGUGAAGAAGGAUUUCGGUUCGUAAAACUCUGUUGUUAGAGAAGAACAGCGCAUAGAGUAACUGUUAUGCGUGUGACGGUAUCUAACCAGAAAGCCACGGCUAACUACGUGCCAGAGCCGCGGUAAUACGUAGGUGGCAAGAGUUGUCCGGAUUUAUUGGGCGUAAAGCGAGCGCAGGCGGUCAAUUAAGUCUGAUGUGAAAGCCCCCGGCUCAACCGGGGAGGGUCAUUGGAAACUGGUUGACUUGAGUGCAGAAGAGGAGAGUGGAAUUCCAUGUGUAGCGGUGAAAUGCGUAGAUAUAUGGAGGAACACCAGUGGCGAAGGCGACUCUCUGGUCUGUAACUGACGCUGAGGCUCGAAAGCGUGGGUAGCAAACAGG
rnacentral:rRNA from 1 species